rnacentral:rRNA from 1 species
UACGAACUGUGCAAACGUUAUUCGGAAUCACUGGGCUUAAAGGGUGCGUAGGCGGCUGUCUAAGUAGGGUGUGAAAGCCCCCGGCUCAACCGGGGAAUUGCGCCCUAAACUGGAUGGCUGGAGUGAGGCAGGGGUGUGUGGAACUUCCGGUGGAGCGGUGAAAUAUGUUGAUAUCGGAAGGAACGCCGGUGGCGAAAGCGACACACUGGGUCUCAACUGACGCUGAGGCACGAAAGCCAGGGGAGCAAACGGG